rnacentral:snRNA from 1 species
AUGCUGAAUUUGGAAGCACAUAUACUAAAAUUGGAACUAUGCAGGGAAGAUUGGCAUGGCCCAUGUACAAGGAUGACAAACAAAUUUGUGAGGUGUUCCAUAAUUUU